GCAAGUCGAACGGUAACAGGAACUAGCUUGCUAGUUUGCUGACGAGUGGCGGACGGGUGAGUAACACGUAAGAAUCUACCUUUUAGGUUGGGACAACUCGAGGAAACUCGAGCUAAUACCGGAUAUGUUCUAAGGAACAAAGCUGGGCUGUAGCGCCUCGCGCUAAUAGAUGAGCCUGCGGCGGAUUAGCUAGUUGGAGUGGUAAUGGCACACCAAGGCGACGAUCCGUAGCUGGUCUGAGAGGACGAAC
rnacentral:rRNA from 1 species